CCAAACCCCCAAGGCUGCAUACUCUCUGCCUUCGUCCAAUCAGGGGCAAGCAUACAUCCUGACGUAUUUCCUGCCUAAACACCUCCCACUUACGGGUGAUCAAGCACUUCCGGUGCAGUUGGGGCCACCAACCUUGCUAACUGAAGCGGAAACUCUUGACUUGUUAUCUUACAUUAACGGAAGCCCCCAGCAUCCUGGGAAGUUAUGGGGCUUACAGGUUAACUCUAGCCCUUACAUUGUCACUAAAAGUGUACUGUACCAUACACCUCCUCUGCUUCACGUUCCACAAAAGGUGUGAAGAUAUGGGACUGCUUCAGAGCAGCAGACUAUGAUUGGCUUCCUGAUCUAGCAGAGAGGCAUGGCUUUGCCAGAUGCAGAUAGUUUUCUGUGAUUGUUUGACGUUUGGAAUUCUGGAAACUUCAGAGGGCCCCGACAGACAUGAUGGUGUACAGACAUGCAAAGAAGACCAACAGACAAAGGAGGGGUACUUAGGACCCAUGGUAGAAAAAGCAAGCAGGACACAACACAGCAGCCUGAAGACUCAAACUCCUUAAAAUCCCCUCCAAAUACUAUUAAACACACUACCUUUAAGACUCAUUUUCUACAAAAUGGACUGAUGAACCAGAACACUUGAAUUCUGCCGUGAGCUUUGGGUCACUGGCCGCAGUAGUAUGCAGAGCAGAUCUGAGGGCAGACAAGAAAGCUGCUAAGCCUUGUUAUUUCCUGCCAAAACUGCCACAGAAAGGCAUCCAUGUACUGGUCUACCCUUCCAAGGGAACUGGAACACAAACACUGUAGCAGAUGAGCUGAAAUUUAAAGAGAGAGGGAAUGCGUGUCCUUCUAAUACUGGGAAAGAAGAGUAUAAAAGGGCAACAGAUAGCAGUUGAUUGGUUGAUGUCCAUCAGCGGGAUGAAGAAAGAAAAAUCUCAGAUGGUUGCAAAAAAUCUAUACAGGAAUAUUCAUCACAGUAUGACCAGGCAAAUCUGUAUCUUCUCUUCUAUCCAGAGUGAAAACAUCUACUGUUCCCCGUGGAAUCUAAUACACAGCGAGAUCUAAUGAAACCAUUGUUUCA
rnacentral:sRNA from 1 species